CCUACGGGGGGCAGCAGUGAGGAAUAUUGGUCAAUGGACGAGAGUCUGAACCAGCCAAGUAGCGUGAAGGAUGACUGCCCUAUGGGUUGUAAACUUCUUUUAUAUGGGAAUAAAACGUUCCACGUGUGGGAUUUUGUAUGUACCAUAUGAAUAAGGAUCGGCUAACUCCGUGCCAGCAGCCGCGGUAAUACGGAGGAUCCGAGCGGUAUCCGGAUUUAUUGGGUUUAAAGGGAGCGUAGGUGGAUUGUUAAGUCAGUUGUGAAAGUUUGCGGCUCAACCGUAAAAUUGCAGUUGAAACUGGCAGUCUUGAGUACAGUAGAGGUGGGCGGAAUUCGUGGUGUAGCGGUGAAAUGCUUAGAUAUCACGAAGAACUCCGAUUGCGAAGGCAGUUCACUGGACUGCAACUGACACUGAGGCUCGAAAGUGUGGGUAUCAAACAGGAUUAGAUACCCUAGUAGUC
rnacentral:rRNA from 1 species